rnacentral:lncRNA from 1 species
GACGCGCAACUACCGGCCAAACUAAUCUCCCAAUCUAAUCCUUCUCUAUCGAAUAAGGCUGGAAACAUUUCCUGUCACUAGCUAGAAAAGUUGAAGAAAAAGAGGCCACCCACUACUUGUGCUGACCCUCGCCUCCUCCCCACUCCCAAUGCUGGAUGAUUGGGAGGAAAAGAGAAUGGAGCGAGGUGAGGGUCCAUACAUGCAAGCGACCUACGUCUGGAGGAUUAACAGCCACAUUAGUCGAGGUGAGAAGUCUUUAAAUCAUUCUUUGCAGCCAUGGAGAACCUUGUUUCAUCUUUACAGUGAACGUUUUAUUUUUAAGCAGUGUGCGUCGUUUCAUUGCAGCUUGUCUCUCUAUCAUGGAUUGAUUAAUUAGACGGAAUUAGUUUUUGUAAACCUAGUCCCCUUUUUUUUCUUUUUCUUUUUUUUUUAUUGUGUGUGUAUCUCUCUCUCUCUCUCCCAUCUUUGCGUAGACAUGCACAGCCCGUUGUAUCGGAGUACAAGAAUUCACGGAAUAACCUUGGAGAGGAAGCAUCAGAGUUCCACACAAGUUAACCGAAGUCCCUAUGAACAUAUUCUCCAUAUAUUUUAGAGCAAGGGAUGAACCUUGUCAUUGUAGGGGUUAUGCAUGGCUAUCCAGUACUUGAGCCCAAUUGUAUCCUUUGCGCCAGACAAGGAUUCAUCCCCAUUUUGCUUUGCAAUCUAUGUGGUGGAUGAAUGACAGCCGUUUGGAACAUUUUGUGAUCUGUGUAGUGGAUAAUCCAAUGAUAGAUUGGCGUGAAAAAAUGUGUAUCCUUCUUUCGCACAAAGGAUAAAACACAACUAAAUAAGGACUUCACUGGACUUUAUAGAAAGUAGAUAGAACCAACUACCUUUGAUGUAUUAUUAGGUCGUCUCUCCUGAUUUUAAAGAAAAAAAAGAGAAAGAAAGAAAAGGGAACAAAGUUCUUUAUUAAAUAUUUUAUAAAAUUAGCACUAGUUUUCAUUAUUUUCAAAAUGAAAUAUAAAAUUUAUAGUCCAUAACAAUAGUUUAUUUAGUUUUGAAUGAUGGGUGUAAUUUGGAAGGCUAGCUUAAUCUUUCUUCACUCUAUUACUUAAAAAAAGAAAAAAGAAUGAUGGGUAUGAUUUCCCCCUUUGUUCAUGUCUUUGUGGAUCUAGGCCCAAGAUUUUGUCGAGUGUUUUAACAAAUUAACAUUAGUUUUACCAGUAGGACUAUUGUAACAGUGUCUCGAUAUAGUUAUGUACAAAAAUCAUGUGGUUGCUUGACUUGCUCUUUUAUGUUUUAACCAACCAUGCUCGAACUAUAUCUAGGAAUGGCAAAAAUUAACCCAUCUGAAAAACUUGACCCAACCCUAUCAAUUCAUGUCAUGUUUUGUCAUGAAUUUUUCAGUUAGGGCCGGACAUGAGUCAGAUUUUUGACUCAGAAUUUUAGAUAGGUCAAUUAUAGAUUAAAGUUUUGACUUUGGUUAGGUCAUAAGGAUGGAGUUCUAUUUGGAUCAAAAUAAUUUAGGUUGGUUUGAUAUUUUUUUUGAUGAUUAAUCUUUUUUCUUGCUACUAGUUGUUUAAAUCAUUUUGAAAAAAUUAGCCGGUAAGAUUUAUAAAUAAUGGAUUUAACAUGCUAGCUUAGAUUUAUUAGAAUUGAGUCUUGAAAAAUAGAUUGGGUUAGGAUUAACCGAGUGACCCGAAAUGAUAUGUAGCUGGCCAUGGUGCCAAUCAUGCUUAUCUAGCCAAAUGUGAAGAAAUCCAAGCCAGACAGAGUUCGAGAGCCUCUGUACAAGCGUAUGAGAGAUCUUGAUCCGAGAUCAGAUCAUGUUGAGUAUGUAUGGGUUAGGGUUUUGUAUGUUGGUGUUCUUAUUUGAUCCAACAAACCUGACCCGUUGCCACCUGAAAAUCGAUCCUUCCGAACUCACUCAAGGUCUCAAUAAAUCUUGAUCGUUUUUGUUUAAAGUAUGCAUUCUUAUGUGCUCAUAUACACAUGUAGAAAAUGAUUUAAAUAAUUUCUUCAGCAACUUGCUGUUCUGUUCAAAUAAAUACAACAAGAGUUCCUAAUUCGUCAUGAAGUUUUGGCUUUGAGCAAAUGUUUUAAAUUAAUAGUAGGUUACUCCAAUUUUCUCAAAGAAAUAACAAGUGACUCCAAUAAAAGAUGGCCUCUCAAGAACUUCCUCGGGCGACAAACCUCAUAGCUGUAGAGACAACUGUUACACAUUCCUUAGGAGGCAAAUUAGUCUGGUUCGAUCAAGUUCAGCACAGUAGAAUAUCUAUCUUACAAACACGCAAUGGGCCUUACGACUAAGCAUACCUAAAUUUUACAUGAGAAAUAGCUCCAUCCUACCAGAGGUUCUACUUCCCAGCCAUUUCACAUCUACAAACAAAAGGCCAAGAGAGAACUAAGUAUAAUAGCGCCAGUUACAAAACUCUCAACUGUGAUGGUAGUUAGGGACCAAUAGGUCAUGAACAGAAGGAAACAUCUUGAACUCUUCCUCAUCUAUCUUCCAGAGUGAUUCAGGGCUAUAUUCCCACAUAGGGGAGGGCAUCGGAGGCCAGGAAGUAUCGCAGACUUCAUUCUUACAUCCCUCAAAGCUCAGCCCGCUGACUGCUUCAGAGGUUGCAAUCUCAUUCCAAAUCUGAUCCAUGGAGUACCACCCCUUCGCACCUUCCUCCUCCACCACAAACCCUGUAGUUACGCAGCAGCAACCACUGGCGCUAUUAAGCUCGUGCUGUUCCAACCCAGCCUCCUCCGCUGGGGGUUCGCUUCGAGAGGGCGAAUUAUAGGUCAGAGAUGACGAAGAUGAUGACGGAGAGAGAGCGUUUCUCUUUCGCUCUUGGGCCUUCUUCCUCAUAUGAGUCCUCCAGUAGUUCUUGAUCUCAUUAUCGGUGCGCCCCGGGAGCUUUCGAGCUAUGCGAGACCACCUAUACAAUAAGCAUUGCUCGUCAAAGUCGUUCCUUAUGCGGCAAGCCUAUAAAUGCAUGCCACUAGAUGAAAGAAAAAGUUGUGGAUGUGCACCACAAGAAUCAUCAUCUAGGCGAGUUCAUAAGAGAUAUAAUUUUACUAAUGGAACAGUAAUAGAUGAGGAGCUAAUCAAAAGGAGUUGUUGUUGUUGGGGAGUGUGAGAUGAAGCAUGGAGAUAGAUAUCGAACCUAUUUCCCCAGCGCGAAUGGAGCUCGAGGAUGAGGCGCUCUUCCUGAUGCGUCAUGCGGCCGCGCUUGAGACCGGGGUGCAGGUAAUUAACCCAGCGUAACCUGCAACUCUUGCCUGUUCUGUUGAGACCUACAUACAACAUUAAACCAGGCCGGGUUAAACGGUAGCGUCCUCCACCCCUCCUCACCGCCAAAGUAAGCCUACUUGUAGCCCCCCCCCCUCAAACCUGAGACUUUGGCUAUGAAAUCCCAACGACGUUCCCCGAGUAAGCCCACAAAGCAUACCAGUUGCAGGUCCUCCUUCUCCGUCCACGGGCCCUUUCGGGUCUCUUCUUUCACCGUCACCAUCGUCGUCGUCUCUCCUCCUCCUCCUCCUCCUCCUCCUCUCUCUGCACGGCCUUCAGAACUCCCUUUCCACCUCCACUUGGAAAGCAGCAGCCACUGCUUUGUCCUUAGACCACAGAACCUGCUCGCCUUUGCGUCCUCUCGUGAUCUUUUUAUAGGGAGUGACCUCCAGGGUCACGUGAUUUCACAUGUUGGCUUGCUCCCUCUUUGUUUUCUUUACUUUUGGUGGGGGCUGAGUCACCAGCUCAGAAGCAUGUGCAGUGCACGUGAUGUGACAUUGGCCUUCUUCUUUUUUUUUUUUUUCUAGAGCUCUGGUUUGAUUAGCAUUUAGACAGUGUACUUAGCACUUAGCUAUAGUACCACCUGGUGUGUAGGCAUAACGACCUUAAAAAUAAGGUGCCUUUCAUUCAUUAGAUCCUGAUUGAGUGCUUCUGACUUCUGCGUCCUGUGUACAUCCUAAAUGAUGGAAGGACAUGAAUGUGUAAUUAAAUAUCUAAAUAAUAACAUGUCUUUGUUUCUUGUAAUGGUAUACUGCAUGCUAUAAAGAUGUUAUUGUAUUAUUCGAGAUUUCUGUGGUUAAUUCACUGAAAUGUAAGGUGAUAACCCACUGUUAAUUUUCUCAAAAAACAGAACAAAAGUGAAAAAAGAAAGAAAGAAAAAUUAUGGUUAAGCAGAGAUUCGACGGUGAGUGAAUCAAUCCAAAGAUAGAUGGCUCUUAAGGAUUGAUGGGAGAAGAAAUUUCCAUAUAAAAAUACAAGCCAGAGCCCUAAGAUCCACUCUUCUUUGUUCUGGUUAAUGCCUCAAGACUAAGCAUAGACUAAAACUCAUGGUCUCUCUAAUUUUUUUUUUUUUUUUUUUCCGGCUAAGAUGGACAAUUCGUACAAUUCAAGUUCGAAAUAAUCAAAAAAAAUCAAAAAAUAACGUAUUCCAGAAUGCCUCUAAGGCAAGCGUCCAAAAUAUAAUCAGAGCGAUGACCUACAAAAGAGGCCAUUCUGUUCGCAGCUCCAUUUGCCUCGUGAUAGAUGUGCCUCACAACAAAGAUUGAACUCUCUCUUAUUCUUAGACAAUCACUAUAGCAGAGUCGUCCUCAACUAAGAAGAUACAUUUCUCCACCUUGAAGCCAUUCUAUUGCAUUAGUUUUGCCGUUAGUGACAGACUACCACUUCGGUGUAGUUCAGCGAAUAGAGGGGUUAGUGUAGUAGGAUCACGGUUUGGUAAGACUUUGGCGGUGAUCUGGUCAGUAGUUUGCGGGGUUUAUUACUUCGCAUUCCUUUUUUCUUUUUCAAAAGUUCACCGUAAGUUACAAGCAGUUCCUACCUAGGGAUUAAUCCUUGUCUCAUUUUUGCUGAAUGAUAUGCCCAACCAAAUACAUCAAGGGUUCAAAUAACACUAGGUUACCUGAGUACAAAUCUCUUUCUUUAAGAACAAAAUAUAUAUAUGAAUUUUCAUCCAGAUACAUUGUUUUCAGUACUUUUUAUCUUUUUUUCUUUUUUAACCUUUAUAGGUCAGCAGCACUGUCAUCAAUGGCAUUAGGUUAAAAUAAAAUCAACUUGGUUUCUUUCCCCAACCAUGUGGAUAGAUAGUUCUCCUACCCAAUUGGUCUGAUUAAUUAUAAUGCAGCUAUCAUUUUGCCACAACAUGAUUAUGCUUGCCGUCAAAUACUAGAUUAAUAUGAGAAGGUGGUUAAGGAGCACCAUUUUACAUGCAAGUGGCACAAUUUAAACCAAAAAAAGGCUUGGCACCUUCCAAACAAGUCUUCACUGAAGCUUCUCGGAGGACAUGGUAGUGCUUGACCCAGGAGGAAGCUACCCAUUAGAGGAAAAAGAUGCAACGUCUAUUCAUGGCAGAAUAUGUUACUGAAUUGAAAAAGAAGUCUGGUCUUAGAUGACCAGUCUCUCCUUGGACUGUUCCUUUCACCUUUGAGGCUGUGAAAAGCAAAUGACUUUAUACAUCCACGAUCAGUAUGGGGACACACAAGAAAUAUGUUCUCGCAGUGCUUUGUUGGUCUAAUACCAUCAUGCAUGUAGACAUUCACCACUCAUGAUUCUAUCUUAUGUUAUAUUAAUUACUAAAAUAGGUAAAUAUUGUCGCCCACCAUGCACCGAUGGAACAUCAUGCUUCUAUGUAAGAUCUCCCAUACCUAAUUCUGAACAUAAAUAUAUUUUGGAGAUGAUAUCACUCUAUGUCACCAAAGUUGAUCUAGCGACGUUAUAUAGCCAGAAUAGGUCUUAGUGUUGAAGCAAUAAGACUAUGUGGUUCUCUUUGGGCCACGCUACUUGGCUACUCUUCAUCUCAUUGUUCAUAUGAUCUCAAGAAGCAAAUAGUACGUAUGUCGUUGUGUGUGUGUGGACACUAAAUCAUAGAGUAGAUAGUUGUGGGAGAUGAUGUCUUCGUGAUGUUGAUGCAUUCGCCGGCAUCGUACGGUAUCAAACAGGCCUCCUGCUAAAGGAUGUCAGCCUUGGUUGCCUUCUUGACCUGUAUCGAUCUCACUUGGAUCAUGAAGGGGGAGGGGGGAAGGCUAAGCCAUCAUGAGGUGGAGGUCACCAAUUUGUGGCUUGUCCACUUGCACCUUUCAUGCUGUUGUUCCCUUUUAGCCUUCUGGCUCCUCACUAUUAUUGUUGUAUCGCAUUAGCUGCUGUUAUUUCUCUCUGUUCGUUUGGAUGCCAUGGGGAACCCUUAGUUUUUUGUCAUCAAUGGGUUGGGGGAAAACAUGAAGCACGGGGGAUGUGGCAGGUUGCAUUAUGUGUACCUUGGUCGGUGGAUGGAUAGUUUUUGUGAUGUCAAAGGCCAUCAAUUGCUUGUUUGAUUCAUGAGAGUAGCUGCAAAUGUUGUGCAGGACAAAGAAGAGUAAGGCCAAUGGGUCAACUGGAAGGCAGUGAUUUAUUUAUUGUUAAGUAGCUAGGAAUUCACUGAUUUGAAUCCAUCAUAUUGCAGUGUCUGGUUUUGGCCUUUGGAAGAGCUUUGCUUCAACCUAUUUGUUCUCAUAUAUUUGGACCGUUUCACUAUAUCUGG